rnacentral:rRNA from 1 species
GGGUUCUACCGUUGGUCGGGCUUUGUCUGUACUGGCGUGUAGAAUUUCUACCUUCUGGGGAACCAUCAUGUUAUUAAUUUAGCGUGGUGGGAAACCAGGACCUUUACCUUGAAAAAAUUAGAGUGUUCAAAGCAGGCUUAUGUCUGAAUACAUUAGCAUGGAAUAAUAGAAUAGGACGGUGGUCCUGUUUUGUUGGUUUCUGAAUCACCGUA